GCCGGCUUAGCUCAGUUGGUAGAGCACCUGAUUUGUAAUCAGGGGGUCGCGGGUUCGAUUCCUGCAGCCGGCACCG
rnacentral:tRNA from 1 species